CAUAGCCUGGGAUGAAUUGUUAUCUUAGCUAUGUCCAACCUACUGUAAUAUAUAGGGAAUUUAAUAGUAUGCAGCUGUCGAGCCACCUCAGAGUGGAGGGCAAAAGCGUACUCCAGAAUACCCACCUGCUGAGUGCAGGUUUGGACAUACAAAGAGACGGCAUUUUGGGCAUGA
rfam:Sporomusa sp. An4 isolate Sporomusa ovata strain An4 genome assembly, contig: SPAN4DRAFT_scaffold-9